rnacentral:rRNA from 1 species
GUUAUAUGGUCAAGUGAAUAAGUGCAUACGACGGAUGCCUUGGCAUUAGAAGGCGAUGAAGGACGUGAUAAUCUGCGAUAAGCUUCGGUUAGCUGAUAAAUAAGCUUUAACCCGGAGAUCUCCGAAUGGGAAAACCCAGUGGUCAUCAGACCAUUAUCCUUAACUGAAUACAUAGGUUAAGGAGGCAAACCUAGGGAACUGAAACAUCUAAGUACCUAGAGGAAAAGAAAUCAACCGAGAUUCCCUUAGUAGCGGCGAGCGAACGGGGAACAGCCCUUAAGCAUAUUUUAAAUUACUAGAAUGAACUGGAAAGUUCAACGAUACAGGGUGAUAGUCCCGUAUAGGAAAAUUUAAUUUAUGUGAAAUCGAGUAAGGCGGCGCACGUGAAACGCUGUUUGAAUAUGGGGGGACCACCCUCCAAGGCUAAAUACUCUCUAAUGACCGAUAGUGAACAAGUACCGUGAGGGAAAGGCGAAAAGAACCCCGGGAGGGGAGUGAAAUAGAACCUGAAAUCGUAUGCAUACAAGCAGUAGGAGCGGAUUUAUUCCGUGACUGCGUACCUUUUGUAUAAUGGGUCAGCGACUUACUUCUCAGUUGCAAGGUUAACCAGUAGGGGAGCCGUAGGGAAACCGAGUCUUAAAUGGGCGAUUAGUAGCUGGGAGUAGACCCGAAACCGGGUGAUCUAUCCAUGGCCAGGGUGAAGGUUAGGUAAAACUAACUGGAGGCCCGAACCCACUUAUGUUGAAAAAUGAGGGGAUGAGCUGUGGAUAGGGGUGAAAGGCCAAACAAACCCGGAGAUAGCUGGUUCUCUCCGAAAUCUAUUUAGGUAGAGCCUCAUGUAUUACUUCAGGGGGUAGAGCACUGUUAUGGCUAGCGGGUCGUCAAGACUUAGUAAACCAUUGCAAACUCCGAAUACCUGAAAGUAUAAGCAUGGGAGACACACUGCGGGUGCUAACGUCCGUAGUGGAAAGGGAAACAACCCAGACCGUCAGCUAAGGUCCCAAAAUUGUAGUUAAGUGGGAAACGAUGUGAAAAGGCCCAGACAGCCAGGAGGUUGGCUUAGAAGCAGCCAUUCCUUUAAAGAGUGCGUAAUAGCUCACUGGUCGAGUCGGUUUGCGCGGAAGAUUUAACGGGGCUAAAACUACAUACCGAAGCUACGGAUCAUAAUUUAUUAUGAUGGUAGGAGAGCGUUCUGUAAGCCGUUGAAGGUGUCCUGUGAGGGAUGCUGGAGGUAUCAGAAGUGCGAAUGCUGACAUGAGUAACGAUAAAGGGGGUGAAAAACCCCCUCGCCAGAAGUCCAAGGUUUCCUACGCAACGUUAAUCGGCGUAGGGUUAGUCGGCCCCUAAGGCGAGGCAGAAAUGCGUAGUCGAUGGGAAACAGGUUAAUAUUCCUGUACUUCAUAUAACUGCGAUGGGAAGACGGAGAAGGUUAGCUCAGCAAGGCGAUGGUUGUCCUUGUUCAAGCGUGUAGAAAUGGUUCUUAGGAAAAUCCGGGAACCUCUAUUUCAAGGCGUGAUAACGAGCCCUCUUUUGGGCGAAGUGAGUGAUACCAUGCUUCCAGGAAAAUCCUCUAAGCUAUAGGUUAUAUGAAACCGUACCCCAAACCGACACAGGUGGACGAGAUGAGAAUUCUAAGGCGCUUGAGAGAACUCGGGUGAAGGAACUAGGCAAAAUGACACCGUAACUUCGGGAGAAGGUGUGCUCUUUGUAGGUGAAAUCACUAGCUGAUGAAGCUGAAAAGAGUUGAAGAAACCAGGUGGCUCCGACUGUUUAUUAAAAACACAGCACUCUGCAAACACGUAAGUGGACGUAUAGGGUGUGACGCCUGCCCGGUGCUUGAAGGUUAAUUGAUGAGGUUAGGAUUUAUCCGAAGCUUUUGAUCGAAGCCCAAGUAAA